GAAAUAGGCAAGUGGAAGGCACAGGUCUCCGCGGCGCUUAGAGAGGAAAGGAGGGUUAAAUGCAGAGACCACCAAUCAGAACUAGAACCCUCUAGUCCAGUCGCCCAAUGAGAAGGAGGAUCUUCUGUAGGCCGGACGACCACGCGGCUGGGCUCUAAACUCACCGUGCUCCACGUAAGUGAUAAAUGCCAGGGACAGCAGCACCGCAGCCAGAUGGAAGCUGAAGCCCUGGUGGGGCCCCAGGGGGCAAUGAGUCUCUCCAAGUUCAGCCAAUGUCAAUCAACUCCAUCGUUCCAGUUCCUCAGGGCAAAAACCUGAGAAUCAUCCUGCAUCUGCCCUCCCCGCACUCCCACAACCAAACUCAGCAAAUCCUGUCAGUUUCACCAUCAGAAUUUACCCGGAAUCUGACCUCUCCUCGCCAUGUCCACUGCCUCCACCACCUGCACUACUGCAGGGGCCUCCUCACUGCUUCCACCUGGCUCCCUCCCCAUCUGUCCUCACAGCAGCCAGAGGGUCCUGUUACAACCCGUGAGCCCAAAGCCCUCCUCUGCUCAGACCCCUGUUGUGGCUCCAGCUCUCUCAGAGAAAAGGCCAAAGUCCUCCCUGUGGCCAGUGAGGGCCCACAGGACCAGGCCCCGUCACCUCUCCAACCUCACCUCCUGCUACUGGCCCUCUCGCUCUCUUUCCUUCUGCUGACCCAGUCUCCUCAGACAUGCCAUGCUCAUUCCUGUCUCAGGACCUUUGCACUGGCUGUUCUCUCCAUCUGUUACACUCCUCCCCCACAUAUUUACAGUGCUUGCUCUCUCACCUUAUUUAGAUCUCAGCUCAAAUGUCACCUCCUCCGUGGGACUUAUUCUGUUAAUUUACUUAAAAUUGCGACAUCCCACCCACACUGCCAACACUCCAGAUCAUCCUUUCCUGCUUUAUUAUUAUUAUUUUUCACCAUAGCACUCAUCGCCAUCUGAACUCUUGUGUAUUUUUCUCUCUUUUAAAAUAAUAUUUUUAUUGAUUUCAGAGAGGAAGGGAGAGGGAG